rnacentral:rRNA from 1 species
UGGGGAAUAUUGCACAAUGGGCGCAAGCCUGAUGCAGCCAUGCCGCGUGUGUGAAGAAGGCCUUCGGGUUGUAAAGCACUUUCAGCGAGGAGGAAGGUGGUGAGCUUAAUACGCUCAUCAAUUGACGUUACUCGCAGAAGAAGCACCGGCUAACUCCGUGCCAGCAGCCGCGGUAAUACGGAGGGUGCAAGCGUUAAUCGGAAUUACUGGGCGUAAAGCGCACGCAGGCGGUUUGUUAAGUCAGAUGUGAAAUCCCCGGGCUCAACCUGGGAACUGCAUUUGAAACUGGCAAGCUAGAGUCUCGUAGAGGGGGGUAGAAUUCCAGGUGUAGCGGUGAAAUGCGUAGAGAUCUGGAGGAAUACCGGUGGCGAAGGCGGCCCCCUGGACGAAGACUGACGCUCAGGUGCGAAAGCGUGGGGCAGCAAACAGGAUUAGAUACCCCUGGUAGUCCAGCGCUGUAAAACGAUGUCGAUUUGGAGGUUGUGCCCUUGAGGCGUGGCUUCCGGAGCUAACGCGUUAAAGUCGACCGCCUGGGGGAGUACGGCCGCAAGGUUAAAACUCAAAGGAAUUGAC